rnacentral:rRNA from 1 species
GAUGAACGCUAGCGGCAGGCUAAUACAUGCAAGUCGAACGGUAAGUUGGGUAGCAAUACUGACCUAGAGUGACGUACGGGUGCGUAACACGUAUGCAACCUACCCUUUACUGGAGGAUAGCUCGGGGAAACUCGGAUUAACCCUCCAUAAUAUAAUUGGAUGGCGUCAUUUGAUUAUUAAAACUCCGGUGGUAAAGGAUGGGCAUGCGUCUGAUUAGCUAGUUGGCGGGGUAAUGGCCCACCAAGGCGAUGAUCAGUAGGGGAACUGAGAGGUUGAUCCCCCACACUGGCACUGAGAUACGGGCCAGACUCCUACGGGAGGCAGCAGUAGGGAAUAUUGGUCAAUGGAUGCAAGUCUGAACCAGCCAUGCCGCGUGCAGGAAGACGGCCCUAUGGGUUGUAAACUGCUUUUGUCAGGGGAUAAAACAGCUCUGCGGAGCAAAUUGAAGGUACCUGACGAAUAAGCCACGGCUAACUACGUG